GUCCUCUCAGGAUCACACCUGGAGAGUUUCCAGGAGUCUACCAGCCUUGGCUACGGGAGGCAGAGUCAAGCAGAAGCUUACCUAUUCCAUUCCUAGCUUGGUCAGAGGCUAGUGAGUGGAAGGCCAUCUGCAACAAAU